rnacentral:rRNA from 1 species
CCUACGGGUGGCAGCAGUGAGGAAUAUUGGUCAAUGGGCGCGAGCCUGAACCAGCCAAGUAGCGUGAAGGAUGACUGCCCUACGGGUUGUAAACUUCUUUUAUAAAGGAAUAAAGUGAGGCACGUGUGCCUUUUUGUAUUUACUUUAUGUAUAAGGAUCGGCUAACUCCUUGCCAGCAGCCGCGGUAAUACGGUGGAUCCGAUCGUUGUCCGGAUUUAUUGGGUGUAAGGGGAGCGUAGAUGGGUUGUUAAGUCAGUGGUGAAAGUUUGCGGCUCAACCGUAAAAUUGCAAUUGAUACUGGCAGUCUUGAGGACAGUUGAGGUAGGCGGAAUGCGUGGUGUAGCGGGGAAAUGCUUAGAUAUCACGAAGAACUCCGAUUGCGAAGGCAGCUUACUAAACUGCCACUGACAUUGAUGCUCGAAAGUGUGGGUAUCAAACAGGAUUAGAUACCCCUGUAGUC